UCAGGUUUAGCUCCUAAACAGGUCAAAUUGUCUUAAUAUCUGCCUUAUAAAUGUUUAUACUGACAAAAAUCUGUAAAGUAAAGUUUAACUUGCAAAUUCACCUGCAUUAAAUGUUGACCUCCUGGAAAGACACUUAAAUACACUUUCAAAAGUGAACCUUGUUUAUAGCUCUGGAAUGUAUAACUUGGAGGAUAUUCAAAUGAAAUUGUUUUGGAAGAGCUUUUUGCUUCUCCAGUCUUCUGAGCAGAACUUGCAGCAAAACUAUGCAGUCAGAUAUAAACGCAUAUUUCAGAGGGAACAGUUUACAAUAGCUUUGGUCUAAUGCAAAUUUAACCUGCUCACUUUAGAUGGGCAACAAGGGAGGAGAGCACACAGUCAGUCCCUGGGGAGUCGAAAUAGGGAGAAGAAAGUGUUCAUGGCUGCCGGGCCCGGGCUUGGGAAGAAUAAAGCAAAUUUUCUGCCCUUGGAGAUUUGGAGCCGAAUCCAUUCCAGCCAGUCUAAGGGAGCUGACUAUGGCUGCUUUUCAAACAUCUCUAAUAUUUUAACCUGUGCAUAAUAGUUCAUGUUACUCCAAAAUCAAUCUUAUUUCCCAUUCUUUUCUCUCUUUUGGUCCCUGUAGGUUAUUUUCCCUUUCUCACAGCACUCCCAUUCUACUCCAUGCUGAAUUAAUGUUCUGUUUACCUUCUAGUCCAGAUUGUUAACAGCAUGACCCUGGUCCGUGAGUUCAGUGGCUUUUAUUAGGUUUAAAUCAGUCCUUUAAUAGGGAUGCUAUUAAAGCCUGGCAGAUUGACUUCAUUUUUUUCCUUAUACCAAUAGAAGAAAAAUCAGAAACACCCAUUACCUCUAGCACAGUUGCAUAUCAAGUCAAUACACGUUGCUUUUGUUUCUGGGGUUUCCACUAGGUUUCUCUGUCAUAACUUUUGGCUCAAGCAACAGUUCUUUUUUUUAUUUUUUUUUUCUGAAAAGGGUAAACUACUUUUUCCCUGUCCAAGUCUUUCACAUAAUUCCUUACAAACCUGCUAAAUGUGAAUGUCAGAGGACCUGGAUUGUUCCCACUUACUGGAAUGAAGCUGCUAAUCUUUUCCUGCAUCUGAUUUAGAUGUAAAUGGAAAGGAGGUGGCUUGUAGGGAGGCCAAAUAGGAAUCCCUUCUGUUUUAGGAAGUCACAGCUAUGAGUCAUUCUAAAUGAAAAGCUUAGUAAAAACAUCAACAUCCCUAAAAUACUUUUUGGGAAAAAAACCCAUGCAAGAGAAAAUUAACCUGCUGAUUCUAAGCCCAUAUUGUGGAGGGGUUUCUAUUUUUUUUUUCUUCUUGUUUUUUUUUUUUUUUCAUUCCCUUUGCUUGAGGUAAUAGCAGUGCUUUACUACAGAAAGUGAUUUUAAAUUGUACCCAGAGUCAAUUCUUUGAAGUUGAAUGGCAGAGCAGAGAUGAGUGAAGCUUUCAUGUGCUGCACACUCAGAGGAUCACUGCCAUGAGCAAACACUGCAGAAUGAAGGUGAUAAGAAGAACAAGAGCAUUACAGAGCUGAAGUUUAUAGCUUUAUUAAGAUGCCAACUCUUACACAAAAAAGCCCAACUGCAGUUCUUGCUGUCUUUUAACUAUUUACACUUCUGAGCUCUCUCCAUGGGUAAUUCUAUUUACAGUCUCAAGCUACUCUUCUCCAGGGUUUCUCACCUCUAUUUAUCAUUAUAUUUUCCUUUUUUCUUUUUUUUUACUUUUUUUUUUCUACUUUUUAAUGUGGCUUCUGAGAGGGCCUGGCUGUUGUGGUGUUCCCCUGCAAGGACAGCAGCAACUGUGGCUUUACCAUUCUACCUCCCUCUGUUUUGUAGCUGGCUAUUCCAUAUGUCUCCUCCCACAGGUUUCUGUUUACUGGGUUUAUUUUUCUUGAGUUUCUGUUUGUUUGUCUCAUUGGCCUGCUUUUCCAUACACAAGGGGUUAGGGGACAGCAUUUCAUCUGUAGUAAAGUAUAGCCAUUAUACAAUUUUUAUUAUUUUAGCAGAGUGUGGCCUGACCUUGAGCAAUGCACAGACUGCAAAGAAGCUUAAAACCAAAACUGAAAAAUAGCAGGGGAAUUCUCAUCUACAAGGAAAUAAGCAGCAGGCUCCAUGAAGCUGGGCGGCUCGUGGCAGCAAUCUGAACCAGCAGCAACUCCUUCCCCCCUAAGUGACAGAAAAUGAAGUAAAGCCACCAAACCUCUGCCUGGGAUUUUAGUGCUCAUCCUGACCACAAGUGCCACAGAACUAUUCUAACAGGAGUAAAGCAAUGGUCCAGAAAAUGCCACACGGAAGCAGCUGCAACAACACCAGUGGUGGCAUCCCAGGAGGGAAGGACAAGUUUUUCAGCAGGAGAUCCUGUUGCCAUUUUGAGAAAUACAUGGAAUUCCUUCCAGGUUUAAAAUUAGUGAUGCCUGUGACACAUUUCUUUUCAAAGAUGGUGGGGCUCAUGGCAGGACUGCCAGUGCUGUUGGAGAGGUGAGAGCAGUGACUGAAUUUAGUUGAAGCCGUGUUUGUGUGUUCAGAGGAGCUGCUGGUGGGAAUCACCCUUACAGGGACCUCCCAGUUUCCUUUUAAAGCUCCCUCAGUUUUGCAGCAAGCAUUCAGCUGGAACUUUCCCUAGAAGCUCAGUGUCCUGUUCCUGCACACAGCUGUUCAGGGAGCCCUGAGCGAGAGGGGCUUUUCCUUGGUAGGGAUUUUCAAGCAAAUACUGGGCUGGUUUGGAGACAAAAUGGCUUGUGCCAGAACAUCAUGGGUUUAUACUUGACAAAGAGACAAGCUUUGGGCAAUUUUAUUGCACCUGGGUGAUCCAUGAAUAGAGAUCAUUAAUUAAAAUCUUAUCAAAGGACCCAUUAUUCUGUAUUUAAGAAAAAAAAAAGCACUCCAAUUUGUCAUUUUUGGGGGCAAUGGAAUCUUGCUGGGUGUGCUUAUUCUUAAUUCAAUAAUCAUAGAGCCGUGUUUGCUUAUGUGGUAUCUAAAUCAACCAUUCAGAAAACAGCACCAGGGUUAGAGGAAUACAGCUAUUCUCUGCUACUUCCUGAGACUUCAGUUAAGGUAUAACAACACUUUUAAAUGCCUUCAUUUUUUACAGUCAUUAAUUUUAUCCAUAAUAUUAAAAUAAUAUCCUGUUAUCCUUCUUAGUAGCACACUGUGAUUUUAUCAAUUGGCCUGAUAUAGCUUAAAUGUAUGAAAAUGUAUUGUAGAGCACACACAGAAAAAAAACCUGCUCACUUUCUCAUGCGAU